AACCAACUUCAUCCUCGUCGUGCCAGCUGAUCCAACCCUAGUCCUGCAUGACAAAUCAGCAAACUGAUUACACAUCCUGGCCGAGACUGUUUGUUUGUAGUGGAGCAUAUAUACUUAACACAUUUCUUUCAUCAUACUUCUGCACAAUCAUGGAAAUUUCAAAACAUACUCGGAAAACUUUACAAAUAAACCUAUUUUUUGGGCAAAUGACUCCUGAAAAGCUCACCGGAUAUUCUUCACACAAAACAUAACUAUCACUAGUGCCUAAUCAUAAUUUGAACAAAUUUUUUUUACAAACCCUUGAUCUCUAGCUAUGGUGAUGUGUAUUUUGCAUAGUGCUACAGGGCCUAAGUUUAGAUGAAACACACUCGCUGCUGUCUAGCCGCUACAUACAUUCAGGAAAAGUGGAAAACCCAUGCCUUUGAACUAGUUUUGUCUUAGUAAGUUUAGACAUUUCCAAAAUCAGCAGCACUAAUUUAUAUGGUCAAUUACUUCAAACUUCUGUUCAUAAUAAGCAUCAAUUUUAUAAAAUCCAAGGGGCCCUACAGAUCGCAAUAAGCUGAAUAUUAACCGUAUACAUUUCGAAAAUUCAGCAACACUAGUUUCCUAAAAUUCAGCAGCACUAGUCUAUCAUAUUAAACCUACACAUUCCGAAAUUCAGCAGCACUAGUUGUCCUCCCGUAGUCUUAGUCAAUUUCUUAAAAUCCAAGGCUAAGGGUUUUACCUUCAAAAUCAUGCACACAAAUUCAUGAAAACCUGGGGAGAAGCCAACAUUUGAAACUAAACCAGACAUGCCAAGCUGGAACACAGUUCGACUUAUUACAUUACCUAGCCACUGGCCAAAAUGCAGAGUUACGAAAAGCAUGUCAACACCUAAAAAUUAACCAUGGUCUAGAUUACGCCGAAGCUAAAACAUGUCACCUACAGGCAUAUGCCUCAAUAGCAAAUAAGAUAACUGAAAAGACACCAUGAGCCCAUCAGCUCCUACCCGGUGCAUUCCACAAACUGCAUUCUACUUGCCAGCCUUAGUUCCAUUGCUUUAUUACAAUUAUUUUGCUGGUGCCCCUCAAACUGCAUUCUACUUGCAAGCCACAGUUCUUACAUUUGGCAGGCUUCCGAGGUUGCUUAGGGACAUCACCACAUCAGGGCAUGUAGUUUGCUUAUGCCCUUGUUUUCAGCAUAUCAUGCAAAACCUAGUCAUCUUGCUUAGACCUUCAUAUGGAGCCUUCUCCGUACUUGUCGUUGGCCAUCCCAUAUUUUUUCCGCUGGAGCCAGCAGUCCUUCCAACCUAUUGCUUGUCCUCGAAACUGAAUCAUUGUCAGCUAAAACAGCAGUAGCUGCUUUGACGUUCAUGUUUUGUUCCGCCAAAACUAGCUCCAUGGGGGUCUGAUUCACCACAGCCCACCUGUUUGCCAGUCUAUCCUCGAGGCCAAGACCAUCCCUAACUACUGUACAGGGUAACAUCACUGUCAAAUUCGACUUGAACAACUCGAUCAAUCAAUUGUAGGCUUCAACACUAGUGUCGCCCAGCCUGACUAGUUCCAUUGUGUGCAUGUACAUCGUGAAGUUUCUGUACGAAAAAGGGUUGUUCUGCAUGCUGUCCUUCUGGUAUUGUAUCAGACGAGGUGGCAGAAUGUCGCGAGCAUCCCUCAUCCAUGUCUUCACUAUAUGCUUAGCUGGUAUUUUUUAGCCUUAAUGAAAUCCAGCAUCCCUUCAUUAUGUGCACGCUUUUCAUGAGCUUCUCAGAUAAAAAUUGUACUCCAUUUGUAUCUGAUUUACUAACAACAAAUCAGUGAGAGCAUCACCAGAAGCCUCGCCCAAGGAGUUGAAUGUAGUGCCGAGAAUAGGUGUGAUCACAUUUUCAGCCGGUUUCUCUGCAAAACAUCUGACAGCCUUGUCGAACGCACUGAUUCGAUUUGGGCAUGGUGUCCUGCUUGGUGCAACAGCACCAAGCCUCAGCCUGCAACACCAGGCAGUACGCAUGAUUUAUCCAAAUGCAUUGUACCAACUGCUCUGAAUCCACAAAGCUAUAGCUGACUGAUUUCUUUUCUGCAAUCCAAUUUUCUAUAAUAAAAUCUUUGCAUGUCUCAUAUCAAAUGGUUUCAUUUUAAUACAGUUUGCUAACUACUCUGAACCCAUACAUCUCUAGCUGCCUGAUUUCUUUAGUGUUGUUAAUUUUUAUUUAAUAAAAUAUUUUCCAUCUGUGAUCACAUAAUUAAGCUUUUCAUUAUCAGACUGUCAAUAAUCAGAAUGCAUCGUACUUACUCCUCUGAACCCAGCAAACUGCAGCUGCCUGAUUUAUUUACCGCACUCAAUUUUUCUUUACUAAAAUCUUUGCAUCUCGCAUAUCAAUGAGUUACAACUGAAUGCAGUGCACAAACUACUCUGUUUUAUUGAAAUCUUUGCUUAUCUGAUGACAUAAGGAAGUUUUUUCUUAUCCGAAUUUCAACUACGUGAAUGCAAUGGAGUUAACCCGCUGAACCCGGUAAAUUACAGCUGCCUGAUUUCAUUAGUGCUACCAAUUUUUCUCCAUUAAUUUCUUUGCAUCCCUUCCCCAACCCUGCGCAAGCGGGAGCUACAUGCACCGGGCUGCCCUUUUUUUUUAUUUCUUUGCAUCUCUCAUAUCAGGAGGGUUCAGCUAAAUGUAUUGUACUACUAAAUACUCUGAAUCUAGAAAGAUAUAGCUGCCUGAUUCUUUACUGAUGUCAAUUUUUCUUUACUAAAAUCUUUGCAUCUCUGAUGACAUACGGAAGCUUUUCCACUGACCUCUUAUUCCAUCCGGGCGCCUGGGGAUUCGUCUUCCCCGUUGAGAGCUCGGGCAUCGGAGGGGAGCUAUCCCUUCUGCCCGCUGCGGCCUCCGCCCCUGAUCUGUGCUUUGCCGCUGUCCGCCGCCCUGUGAUGCUGCCGCACCGCAUGCUCCGCCACCACUUCGCCAUCGGCAACCGGAGGGGCAGGCACCAGGCUCUCUUCUCUCUCC
rnacentral:lncRNA from 1 species